GUGAAUCAUCGAAUCUUUGAACGCACCUUGCGCUCCUUGGCAUUCCGAGGAGCAUGCCUGUUUGAGUGUCGUUGAAUUCUCAGGUCUCGCUGCUCAGUGGUUUCCGGGCAAGUGGGAUUUGGAUUGGUGGAGGUCUUGCAGGUCAGCCGAGGCUUGACACCUCGAGCGCUCUCUGCUCCUCUGAAAUGCAUUUGGCAGAACGGGCCAUGGUCACGCACGCAUCUGUCGUCGGUAUGAUACAUCCAUCUUACCUGCUUUUGAUGCGCUGCCGUGCAACUCUUCAUGAUUUGACCUCGAAUCAGGCAGGACUACCCGCUGAACUUAAGCAUAUCAAUAAGCGGAGGA
rnacentral:rRNA from 1 species